rnacentral:lncRNA from 1 species
GGUUUUUAAAUGGGAAGGAGGGAGACGGAAGAAUUAGAAUCUCUGGGAGAUGGCAUCAUCCUGAGAAAGACUGGAGCUGCCCUUGCUGGCUUUGAAGAUGGAGGAAGGGGCCACUAACUGGGGAAUGCAGCCAGCUUCGCGAAGCUGGAAAAGCAAAAGUCCAUCUGAGACCUGCUUUCAUUGCACUGCCUCGUGAGGAGCUGUAGGAGAAGACAUCAUAACUAUUCCCCACUUCUAAUUGUUAGAAGCAACAGCUAUCUAUCAAGAACAAUCUGAGGAUUGUGCACAAAUUGAUUUGGUUCUAUCAAGUGCUGGCUUUCGAUUCCAGUCUGACUUCACUACCACAGGAGCUUCUUGCUCAGGCUUCUGUUCUGGCUCCAUUCUCUCCCUGCCAUUAUAAUGCCAUCCACUGCAGCACAAUCUCUUCAAUCACUCUACAGAAAUGCAAAUUGCUGCCUUCAGAAGGAAGCACACGGGCCUAUGAAUUUUAUAUCAGCAGGGAUUACCAAUGAGUCAUGCUUGAUGUUGUAAAAACUAUUCAGGAACCAAGAAAAGGGGCAGAAUAAGUGAGAGAAUGAACGAGAAUGAAAAAAAGAAUAGAACCAGUCGGCCAGUAACAUUUUCUAGUGAAACACAUAUGGGAUGCAAGAAAAGGACUCAGAAAAACCUUGGGAGUAAAUAUUGAAAUGAUCUUGAAUGAUUUGGCAGGAGAAGAUGUGCCAGCAGGGCUUACCGUAUAGCUCCGAAGGAUGGUGAUGACGACACCACAGACCGAGAGUUUACAAAGGCUUAAUGAAGCUCAGAUAUUUGAGAAAAAAAAAAAAAGAUUAACAAUAUUCAGCUGAGAAAAGGGAACACAAACACAUCUGGGGAAAGUAAUCUUAAAUAAAGAUACUCAGAUGGAGAAAAACAUGUGUCAAGCCUGGACCUGGAGUAAAAGCAGAUAGAAAAAUUUUGAGUUGCAAGGGAUUACAACAGCUCAGAAAGAAGGUAAUUUGAAGAAGAUGGACCAGAAGACUGAGCUUGAGUCUUAACCUGGCACUGCUGUGUUUCUGCCAUUCGGAGAAGCUGACUGGCCUCUUCAACUCUUGCAUGGGAGCCUUAGUGGUGACUCAGCCCAGACACAGUCCAAAAAAAAUCCCUUUAAUGUGAACCUGCUGCCAGCCACAUGUACCUUGAGGGUGGAACAUCUCAACCACAAGAAUUACCUUCUUUGGGAGUGGGAGAGUUGGAGAUGAGAUGGACUAAAGGUUUGGUGUCUAUUGAUUCCUUUCCUUGAUCUAAAGUUUAACCUCUUUCUCCCUUUCAAGAGAUU